rnacentral:rRNA from 1 species
UAGUGGCGAACGGGUGAGUAACACGUGGGCAAUCUGCCCUUCACUCUGGGACAAGCCCUGGAAACGGGGUCUAAUACCGGAUAACACUCUGUCCCGCAUGGGACGGGGUUGAAAGCUCCGGCGGUGAAGGAUGAGCCCGCGGCCUAUCAGCUUGUUGGUGGGGUGAUGGCCUACCAAGGCGACGACGGGUAGCCGGCCUGAGAGGGCGACCGGCCACACUGGGACUGAGACACGGCCCAGACUCCUACGGGAGGCAGCAGUGGGGAAUAUUGCACAAUGGGCGAAAGCCUGAUGCAGCGACGCCGCGUGAGGGAUGACGGCCUUCGGGUUGUAAACCUCUUUCAGCAGGGAAGAAGCGAGAGUGACGGUACCUGCAGAAGAAGCGCCGGCUAACUACGUGCCAGCAGCCGCGGUAAUACGUAGGGCGCAAGCCGUUGUCCGGAAUUAUUGGGCGUAAAGAGCUCGUAGGCCGGCUUGUUGCGUCGGUUGUGAAAGCCCGGGGCUUAACCCCGGGUCUGCA